rnacentral:rRNA from 1 species
GACGAACGCUGGCGGCGUGCCUAAUACAUGCAAGUCGAACGCUGAAGGAGGAGCUUGCUCUUCUGGAUGAGUUGCGAACGGGUGAGUAACGCGUAGGUAACCUGCCUGGUAGCGGGGGAUAACUAUUGGAAACGAUAGCUAAUACCGCAUAACAGUAGAUGUUGCAUGACAUUUACUUAAAAGGUGCAAUUGCAUCACUACCAGAUGGACCUGCGUUGUAUUAGCUAGUUGGUGGGGUAACGGCUCACCAAGGCGACGAUACAUAGCCGACCUGAGAGGGUGAUCGGCCACACUGGGACUGAGACACGGCCCAGACUCCUACGGGAGGCAGCAGUAGGGAAUCUUCGGCAAUGGACGGAAGUCCGACCGAGCAACGCCGCGUGAGUGAAGAAGGUUUUCGGAUCGUAAAGCUCUGUUGUAAGAGAAGAACGAGUGUGAGAGUGGAAAGUUCACACUGUGACGGUAUCUUACCAGAAAGGGACGGCUAACUACGUG